UACGUAGGGUGCGAGCGUUGUCCGGAAUUAUUGGGCGUAAAGGGCUCGUAGGCGGUUUGUCGCGUCGGGAGUGAAAACUCAGGGCUUAACCCUGAGCCUGCUUCCGAUACGGGCAGACUAGAGGUAUGCAGGGGAGAACGGAAUUCCUGGUGUAGCGGUGAAAUGCGCAGAUAUCAGGAGGAACACCGGUGGCGAAGGCGGUUCUCUGGGCAUUACCUGACGCUGAGGAGCGAAAGUGUGGGGAGCGAACAGGAUUAGA
rnacentral:rRNA from 1 species